CAUGUUCCCCAUGUUCCAGGAGCUUGCACCGACAACCCAGAUGACAAGUGUGGUCACCACUAUGCGAUUUGCCUUGACCUGAAGAAGCAACGAUUUGAGGUUCUUGAUUCAUUGCGUUCAGAAGCUGAUGAAGACCUUACUACACAUGCUGAAUUCUUUAUCAACAACCUGAAAGAGACAUGGAACCAUCACUACGAAAACUCAAAGGUCCAGAUCAGUCAUUUUCCAAUCGAGUAUGUCGCGACUACAAAACAAGGAAACCGGAAUGACUGUGGCUUUCACAAUUUGGAAUACCUUGCAAAGUGGGAAGGUCGACGGGUCCCUGUCGUCACAGCUACAAUGGUCGUCGAGCUUCGUAAAAUAUACACAUGGAUCUGGUUGAUGAAUGAAGAUGUCAACACACGGGCCAACGCACGAGAGUUCAUAGAGGAAGCU
rnacentral:rRNA from 1 species